AUCUACUCGAAAUGGAAUGAAACAUGUACGCUUUUACCACCAAAUAUGCAAGAUCAAUUGCUUAUGAGUUUGUAAAUAAAAAUAAUAUUAAUAAACCCUUUUGGAAAAAAACAUGUCUACCUGGCAAAUAUUAGUUUACAGGUCUUCGGGCAUCCUGAACUCACACUAAGAUCACCUGAGUUUACUUCAGCGGCUUGAGCUCGAGCUUUUAACCCGCCUGUCGUUACGAAAUUUUCAACGUUACUUAAUUCAGUGUAUGGCAACAUACAAUUUCCAGAAUAUAGGAUCUAUAAUGUUGAUAAAACAUUUUUAAGUACGAUCCCAGAUAAGAAUAUGGCUCAAAAAUAUAAAAGAAAAACUGAGAGGCAGUUAUGGGACGAAGAUAAAAUGCAACAAGCAAUGGAACAGGUCCGUCGUGCCUUAGCGUACAAAACUGCAACUAGAAACUUUAAUGUUCUGCUGAUAAGCUUAAAGUUAGCGAACAAGUUAUCUGUUAAUGCUGUAAAGAAACUGGGAAGCAAAAGACCCGUUUUCAUUGAGGAACAGGAAGAAGAAUUGGUUGCGCAUAUACUCGACAUAAAAAGAAGCAUAUUUCACCACCAAAUAUGUAAGAUCAAUUGCUUAUGAGCUUGUAAAUAAAAAUAAUAUUGAUAAA